rnacentral:rRNA from 1 species
CGAACGCUGGCGGCGCGUUUUAAGCAUGCAAGUCGAACGGUAAUAGAGUGCUUGCACUCUAUGAGAGUGGCGAACGGGUGAGUAACACGUAGAUGAUCUAUCUUUGGAUCUGGGAUAGCCUGUGGAAACACAGGGUAAUACCGGAUACGACCUUAUGACUACGGUUGUAAGGGGAAAGUCGCUUAGGCGACGUCCGAGGCUGAGUCUGCGGCUCAUUAGCUUGUUGGUAGGGUAAUGGCCUACCAAGGCGACGAUGAGUAGCCGGCCUGAGAGGGUGAUCGGCCACACUGGGACUGAGACACGGCCCAGACUCCUACGGGAGGCAGCAGCUAAGAAUCUUCCGCAAUGGGGGAAACCCUGACGGAGCGACGCCGCGUGAACGAUGAAGGCCGGAAGGUUGUAAAGUUCUUUUCCUGGGGGAGAAUAACACCUGGAGGUAAUGCCAGGUGGAUGACGUGAACCAGGGAAUAAGCCCCGGCUAAUUAC